UUGUGCUACUUCUGAAGCAGGUCUGGAAGUCCUCUUGUGUCUUAUUACAUAUGAUCAAAGAUAGGGUAAAUGGUGCUGCCAACUAGCUUCAAAGGAAAAGGCAGGCUCAUCAAAAUAUCACCAAUGUGUCCUCACCUACCUUAUUCACCAGAUCUGCCACCAUGCAACUACUGGUCUUCCCCAAAGUCAAAUGAUCAUGAAAGGUAAGCAUUUUGAAGUAUUUAAAGAGAUGGAGGCAGCCACACCACACAACUGAAGUCACUGAUGAAAGAUGACUUCCAGAACUGCGUCAGAAAGUGACAAGAAUGAUGGCAUAGUGUGUUUGCAGUGAGAAUAUUUUGAGGGAUAUUAAUGUCAAUGUUGCUUUUGCUGAAAUAAAGUUAUAGAAUAUAAAACAUCCACCAAAUGUUUUGAUCACACCUCAUAUUUACAUGUUACAAUUGAUUCUUAAAUACUUUAAAGUGAUGUUCAGAGGAGCAUAGUAAUCUAGCAAUGUGUAGGAUCAUCUGGGUUAGGGAAUAUUCUAAAGACAGAAUUCAGUUAGGACCAAGAUAGUGGAACCCAGCUUUAGAUGAGGAAGCCUAGACUAACAUGACUGCAAUAGGAAAAAUUCAAGGAAAAUGAAUGCAAAAAAAAUGUUUUAAAAUCCUGUAAAAUAUAAAAUGGAAAGAAUUCAACCUCUGAUUAAAGAUGAGAGAACCAGAAGAGGGAAGGAUUAAUGAUGUCAUCAAGGUUUUGGAAGAAGUAUGCAGGGACACUGUUAAUUCCACACACAGGUCUGCUUCUAACGCCCCCUGAAUCUAUUUCCCAACCACUAGAUAUUGGUAUUGUCUGCUAAGAUUUACCCUUAUACUCUUGUCUGGAGAAAUGCCCUCACGGAUUGUCCUCAGCAUGGAGCUGGAGCCGUCCCUCUCCCAGGUGCCAGGAAGAUUUCCCUUUUCCUCUGGGGGAGCGGAUAGCUGAUGACUGACUGAUACGCUUUUCUCGGUGCCUCAAGCCUUGGUUGGAGCCAGGGAGCAGACAUGGUGUAUGAUACACCACCCGAAAAUGUAAUCCAGACAGGCUCAACCAGAGACCGACCUCGGAACAAUGCCUGCCACAUCCAGCCAAAACAAAUUAUGGCAAUCAGAUGAUCAAGAAGUGAACAAUACUGUGUGGGGUCCAAGCCGGAGGGGGUGCUCAGCAAGCACGAGAUGAUCAAAUCGUCUGAGAGCUGAUGGAAUGCAAGCCUCAUCUGGAAUGGCUGAAUCUGUGGUGACCGUGCUUUCUGAACCUCAAAUUGGUCACACCAUUUAACAUGUAGGGGGUGUGCAACAGGAUAGAUUAUUUUAAAUCAGAACUGUUCUCAAAACUCUAAGACAUAUGGUUGUUCUGGCUAUAGGGGACGUUGCUUCAGAAAGGAAGAAAAAUUCUACAGGAGAUCUAAGGCAUGAUCUCUGAAGGAAAAAAAUAAGGGCUGGUAAUUUAUAAAACUCUAGCUGCUGGUACUGAAUAUCCACUGAACAAGAACAACUCUUGGUUCUCCCUUGCAUAAAUGGAGACAGCAUUUUAAAUCCAAAGGACUAUUACUUUCACAUCUGUUGGCAUCUAGUCAGUUUCUGUUUAAAGUACUCCCUGCACAAAAUGUGUGUGACUGCCAGUAUUAAUUAACUCCAUAAUUCUCCUGAAACCUGUAAAAUAAAUGCUUUCCCCUGAAGAGCCACUCUAACAUCAUUAACACCUUGCUUCCUCCCCUCUUUUCUACCAUCCCCACCAAUCUCAGGGUGGUUCUGAAAAAACAAUCAUUUUCCUUCCUAUUCAUAUGGACUCUUAAGAGCCUCUUUGAUUACAGAAGUGGAAUAAA